UACGUAGGGUGCAAACGUUAUUCGGAAUCACUGGGCUUACAGGGUGCGUAGGCGGCCUGACAAGUAGGGUGUGAAAGCCCCCGGCUCAACCGGGGAAUGGCGCCCUAAACUGUCGGGCUGGAGUGAGAUAGGGGUGUGCGGAACUUCCGGUGGAGCGGUGAAAUGUGUUGAUAUCGGAAGGAACGCCGGUGGCGAAAGCGGCACACUGGAUCUCAACUGACGCUGAGGCACGAAAGCCAGGGGAGCGAACGGG
rnacentral:rRNA from 1 species